rnacentral:rRNA from 1 species
GUUGCCAUCCUUGGGUGGAACCUGUGUGGCAUUAGGUUGUCGUGCAGGGGAUGCCCAUCGUUUACUGUGAAAAAAUUAGAGUGUUCAAAGCAGGCUUAUGCCGUUGAAUAUAUUAGCAUGGAAUAAUGAGAUAGGACUUUUUUGCUAUUUUGUUGGUUUGCGCAAAGAGGUAAUGAUUAAUAGGGACAGUUGGGGGUAUUCGUAUUCCAUUGUCAGAGGUGAAAUUCUUGGAUUUUUGGAAGACGAACUACUGCGAAAGCAUUUACCAAGGAUGUUUUCAUUAAUCAAGAACGAAAGUUAGGGGAUCGAAGAUGAUUAGAUACCAUCGUAGUCUUAACCGUAAACUAUGCCGACUUGC